ensembl:ncRNA W08E3.5 ncRNA
UCGCCGGUGUUCUAUGUCUAAAACUGCAAUUUGAACCACUUUUUGUACUUGUACAGUUGGAUUUUUUCGUGUAGUUUUUUGAAAAAAUAGGUUUUGCAAGAGCUCUGUGGUUAUUGAUUUUUCCUAAAAAUACACAUUUUCUGCUCAGUUUUGCCCACAUUUCGAA